rnacentral:tRNA from 1 species
GCCUGGGUGGCUCAGUCGGUUGAGCGUCCGACUUCGGCUCAGGUCAUGAUCUCACAGUUUGUGGGUUCAAGCCCCGCGUUGGGCU